AUUGAACGCUGGCGGCAUGCCUUACACAUGCAAGUCGAACGGCAGCACGGGAGCAAUCCUGGUGGCGAGUGGCGAACGGGUGAGUAAAGUAUCGGAACGUGCCCAGUCGUGGGGGAUAACGUAGCGAAAGUUACGCUAAUACCGCAUACGAUCUAUGGAUGAAAGCGGGGGAUCGCAAGACCUCGCGCGAUUGGAGCGGCCGAUAUCAGAUUAGGUAGUUGGUGGGGUAAAGGCUCACCAAGCCGACGAUCUGUAGCUGGUCUGAGAGGACGACCAGCCACACUGUGAAUGAGACACGGCCCAGACUCCUACGGGAGGCAGCAGUGGGGAAUUUUGGACAAUGGGCGAAAGCCUGAUCCAGCCAUGCCGCGUGCAGGAUGAAGGCCUUCGGGUUGUAAACUGCUUUUGUACGGAACGAAAAGGUUUGGCCUAAUAAGCUGAGCUCAUGACGGUACCGUAAGAAUAAGCACCGGCUAACUACGUGCCAGCCACCGCAGUAA
rnacentral:rRNA from 1 species